rnacentral:tRNA from 1 species
GCCUGGGUGGCUCAGUCAGUUAAGCAUCUGACUUUGGUUCAGGUCUCAUAGCGUGGGUUCAAGCCCCGCUUCAGGCU